rnacentral:rRNA from 1 species
ACGGGAAGAGAUGAAGAGCUUGCUCUUUAUCAAAUCCAGUGGCAAACGGGUGAGUAACACGUAAACAACCUGCCUUCAGGAUGGGGACAACAGACGGAAACGACUGCUAAUACCGAAUACGUUCCACGGGCCGCAUGACCUGUGGAAGAAAGGGUAGCCUCUACCUGUAAGCUAUCGCCUGAAGAGGGGUUUGCGUCUGAUUAGGCAGUUGGUGGGGUAACGGCCCACCAAACCAACGAUCAGUAGCCGGUCUGAGAGGAUGAACGGCCACACUGGAACUGAGACACGGUCCAGACUCCUACGGGAGGCAGCAGUGGGGAAUCUUCCGCAAUGGACGAAAGUCUGACGGAGCAACGCCGCGUGAGUGAAGACGGCCUUCGGGUUGUAAAGCUCUGUGAUCCGGGACGAAAGAGCCUUGGGUGAAUAGCCUAAGGAAGUGACGGUACCGGAAAAGCAAGCCACGGCUAACUACGUGCCAGCAGCCGCGGUAA